AGGUCUCCUUUGUGGCCCCAGCCUGCUCUGUGUGCAGCAGUGUUGGUUAUGGUGGUUCACAAGUUCUGUUAACCCCUUGCACACAGCUUUACUAACAGUGUCUGUCUCUCAUGCAUGUGCUUAACCUGCAAUGCAUAGGAAAGGCGAACUUUAAAUCUCUGCUAAUGUUUCAAUGUUGAGUUUCGGGAAUAUUCAGUGAAGAUAUUAUGCCAUACAGGUUUAAAAACUUGUAAGUCAUGUUCCUUGUGUCUUUGCUAUACAAAAUGAAAUUGCCAGUUAAAUCAAAUUGGCAAAUACUUACAAAUAUUCUAAGAAUAUUUUUAUAUUCUUCUCAGCUAAUUGAAAAAGUAUUGUAUCACCUUUUUUUUUGUCGCCAAAUUCAGUAUUAAAAAUGUGAGAGAGAAGCAACUAAGAAAGCAUAACUACAGACAUCCUCCCGGGAGGAAAGAGCAUGAAGGCAUGAGGCACAGGUUUUCUUUUGUUGAGUUUGUUUUUGCCUAUACAUCAAAAAGAUAUUACAUACCUAGUGCCUCAAGGAAUUUGGAGAUAAAUGUAAGUAGGCUUUUAUCUGUUCUCAGCAAGGAUAGCUACCAGUUUUCAAUAUAAAUGUGUGAAUCAGACAUUUUGGGUUCUAAAUGAUAUUAGUUAUUUUUUAAUUCAUGUUUCAUUAUGAAGUUCAAGCCUGAUCUUAUGAAGGAACCAAAAUGUGUUCUGAUUUGAAAUAGAAAUGUACAGUAGCCCUCUGGAAAGCAAAGCAGGCAUUCAGAAAGGCGGCUCAGGAUGCGCCCAGAGGAGUAAGCGUCGCCCUCAUGGACAGCAUUCGUGGACACCCCCACCCCCACAUGAUCUAACAUAGCUCGGCUGCCACUGAAAGCCUCCCUGAAGUGAGCUGGUCCAUGGGGAUUCAAGGUUAAGACUUGGGGACCCAAAAGAUGGGAGGCUACAGGCAGUGCUGAUCACACACUCUGGUACAUGGCUUGGGGUGUCAGUACUCAUCAGGAGCAUCACAGAGGUGUCAGUACUCAUCAGGAGCAUCACAGAGGUAUCAGUACUCAUCAGGAGCAUCACAGAGGUGUCAGUACUCAUCAGGAGCAUCACAGAGGUGUCAGUACUCAUCAGGAGCAUCACAGAGGUAUCAAUACUCAUCAGGAGCAUCACAGAGGUGUCAGUACUCAUCAGGAGCAUCACAGAGGUGUCAGUACUCAUCAGGAGCAUCACAGAGGUCGCUGAUGUUCUCACCUAGUCAAAUGGCUCUAAUCUUCAGGGUGUAAUCUCUCUUUUAGGACUUUUUUUUUUUUUUUUUGACAGGCAGAGUGGACAGUGAGAGAGAGAGACAGAGAGAAAGGUCUUCCUUUCCUUUGGUUCACCCCCCAAAAUGGCCGCCAUGGCUGGCACGCUGCACCGAUCUGAAGCCAGGAGCCAGGCGUCCCCUCCUGGCGUCCCAUGCGGGCACAGGUGCCCAAGCACUUGGGCCAUCCUCCACUGCCUUCCUGGGCCACAGCAUAGAGCUGAACUGGAAGAGGAGCAGCCAGGACUAGGAACCUGGCGCCCAUAUGGGAUGCUGGCGCUGCAGGCGGAGGACCAGCCAAGUGAGCCAUGACGCCGGCCUCUUUCAGGACUUUCUAAGACUUUUAGACAAAUCUUGGAUCGAACAAAUAUAUCCACUGUAUUAAAUAAAUAUCUUAAAGUCUCAUGUGGGCUGGACAUUGUGGCAUAGCAGCUUAAGCUGCUGCUUGGGACACCUGCCUCCUGUAUCAGAGUGCCUGGGAUCGAAUCCUGCCUCCAUUUCUGAUCCAGCUUCCUGCUAAUGUGCUUUAGAGGCAGCAAAUGAUGUAUUUGUGUCCCUGCCUCCCACAUGGGAAACCUGGAGGGAGCUCUUGGCUCCUGGCUUGGCCCUGACCCAGCCCUGGCUGUUGUGGGCAUCUGGAGAGUAAAUCAGCAAUGGAAGAUAUUUCUCUGUUUUCUCCUCUUUUUCUGUCACUCUGCCUUUCAAACAAACCAUAAAAAAUAAAAUUUUAUGUGUAACAGUUAGGAAAGUAAACAAGCAACUUAGAGGCAUUCUUAUUGCUCUUUAAAAAAGUCUUAAUAUCUAUUUAAAUGAAAGUGGGAGAUAAGGAAGGAGGGAGAGAGAGAAAGAAUGAGUGAAUGAAUGAGCAAGGAAGAAAAUCUUCCACUGCUGGUUCACUUCCCAGAUAAUUGCAACACCAUGGUUAGGCCAGGCCAAAACCUGGAGCCUGGAAUUUAACCUGGGUUUCCCAUGUGGAUGGAGGGUCGGUCCCAAGUACUUGGACCAUCACUUGCUGCCUUCCAGGUUAUGCAAUAGCAGGAAGCUGGAAUCGGAAGUAGAGCCUGGACCAUGCACUCUAAUGUGGGGCGUGGGCCUCUUAGCCACUCCGUCAAAUGCCCACCCCUUAAUUUUAUUUAAAACAAAUUUUUCUUGGCCAGCGCCGCGGCUCACUAGGCUAAUCCUCUGCCUAGCGGUGCCGGCACACCGGGUUCUAGUCCCGGUCGGGGCACCGGAUUCUGUCCCGGUUGCCCCUCUUCCAGGCCAGCUCUCUGCUGUGGCCAGGGAGUGCAGUGGAGGAUGGCCCAGGUGCUUGGGCCCUGCACCCCAUGGGAGACCAGGAGAAGCACCUGGCUCCUGGCUCCUGCCAUCGGAUCAGUGCGGUGCGCCGGCCGCAGCGCGCCGGCUGCGGCGGCCAUUGGAGGGUGAACCAAUGGCAAAAGGAAGACCUUUCUCUCUGUCUCUCUCUCUCACUGUCCACUCUGCCUGUCAAAAAAUAAAAAAAUUAAAAAAAAAAAUAAAUAAAAAAACCAAAUUUUUCUUAAUUUUGAAUCUAUUAUUUAUUGUAUUCUUUGAAGAUUACAAAAGAAUAGAUGUGAAACUUAAAAAGAUAAUAUACUAUAUUAGUUUUCCUUUACUGAAAAUACUUGAGGCAACUAGCUUUAUAAGAGGAAGAUUUAUUCAGAUCAUGA